rnacentral:rRNA from 1 species
UACGUAGGGGGCUAGCGUUGUCCGGAUGUAUUGGGCGUAAAGAGCUUGUAGGCGGUCUGUCGCGUCUGCUGUGAAAAUCCGGGGCUCAACCCCGGACUUGCAGUGGGUACGGGCAGACUAGAGUGUGGUAGGGGAGACUGGAAUUCCUGGUGUAGCGGUGAAAUGCGCAGAUAUCAGGAGGAACCCCGCUGGCGAAGGCAGGUCUCUGGGCCACUACUGACGCUGAGAAGCGAAAGCAUGGUGAGCGAACAGG